rnacentral:lncRNA from 1 species
UCUCUCAUUUUCGCCGCUUUCUCCAGCAGCAACCCAGCGUGCGUGCUGGCGCUGCCUCGUGGAUCCGGCGUCGUUGGGCAUGGACGCAUGGUCAUCGGCGUAUGGCCGCGGCCGCGAUUCAGUGCGCGGCGGGAGCUAGCUGGGCCGCUGGGGUGGAGGAUGGGCUUGCCAUCUUGAUCGACCACGCUCGCACGUAAACUCUUCCGCUCGCUCUGCCUCUAUUUGUGUCAAAGAAUCGCUAUAGGCGUUCUGCCCCUAAAGUGUGCGAUCAAAUGCCUCUGGGUGUUUCUCAAAUAGAACAUAAGAUAUAUUUCUUCCAAAUCAAACUCCGAGGAAAUGCAUUUUGCAUAUAUUUCAUCGUUAUUAAUCAAUUGUUAUGAAUUUCAUCUACACUAGCGUUAUCAGUUAUCACCGACUCACUGUAUCUUUGUUAUGAACACAAGAUUUUAUCAGAAAAAUAGAAUACAGCUACACGUACAAACAUUUAACUACAACUUGAGAUCAACUUAAAAUCUAACUUCAGGACAGUACUACACCUGCAAUCAUCUGAGUACAAAUGUAUGGAUUUCUACCCAAAAUCCUGGAAGUACGCUAUUCCUCGAUGUCGUCGUAACUGAAGUCCCAAAUAGAUCUGUACAUUCUACUAAAGGUUUGUGGCGCUAAACUGCAACUUGUGUCUGUUUAAGUUGAUUCAGCUAUUUAACUUGAUUUAGUUGAAGCACCUAUUUUGGUUUCUUCCUGUGUACAUAGCUGAUUGUGUGCGGCUCCCUUUCAGGAUUGAUCCCAGAUGGCACCAAUGAAGAUAUCUAGGGAAAUAGAGUCUGCUACUUAUGGAGGACCACUGGCAUGAUGUUUUGGACCUUUUAGAUUCCAGGAUCUGACAAAUCGAAGCAGCUUGAAAACCUUAAUCCAUCGAGAAGCAUAUCCCAAGUUUCACAGUCGGUGAAGGUCAACCUGAACACACGCAUGUGUCUUAUCCACUGCAAGACUCUGCUUGAACAAGAACUGAUGUAGACACGUGCUGUUCUUUCGCCUUUGUUCCUGUGUGGCACUGGCACUGGACCUGCCACUUUCAUCUGAGGCAGAGAGCAUUGGCGGUGGCGGUCAUCGGUGGUGAAGCGGGGUGUUAAAAUCCAUGCAUUUGUUCAGCUCUAUAUUCAGUUAGCGAGAGAAGUCUCUUUCUGUGGCUGCACGCGUUUGUUGGCACCAGACUCGUUGCUGCAUUCACGCGGGGUGACCACGUUUCCCUUUGGCUAUUUUUGUAGGCGUGAUCUGUUUCUGUUCUUUCGUGGGAUGGGCACGACCUGGAGAUGUGGUUUUCCCUUUGUACCUGUUCAAUGCACUGAGCAAAGGUGCUCUGUCUAUUCGUCGUGAUCUCUGUCAAGUGCGACUUUAUUGUACACCUGUAAUUCGAUGUGGACUAGAAAUCCCUUGUAUCUAUUCCCGCGUGUAAUUUGCUAUUUUGGUAGAAACAAAC